CAUGAUGAAGACUUCAUACACAAUACAAUGCUUUUCUGACAGCGGCCAGACUAGCCUUUAGAAGGAGCUGAGCUUUCCGAAGGAAUUGAAUGGAGGCAAACCCUUUUUCAAGGGCACAACUGCUAUUUUUGAGAAAGGGUACAUCCUUCCUUGUAUUUGGAAGGACCCAGGAUACACACGUUGUCUUAAGGUAGAGGAAUGUGGGAGAUCUUGUAGGAACAGUAGAGAAGGGAGCAUAUCAUAUCAGGUAGUUCUUGGAAUUAGCUCCCUCUGUACACACACACACACGGAAAAUAUAUAAAAGAAAAUAGGAAAAUAAAGGCUUUGUAAUUCAAUUCAUGAAAAGCUCCUGUAAUAUUGAACUGUGCAUUACCCAUUAUUUUGUAGUACUUUGCAUCCGAUGGUUUUCUCUUGUGUGCUGAAAUGCUGACUUCCUU